rnacentral:rRNA from 1 species
UACGUAGGGUGCAAGCGUUGUCCGGAAUUAUUGGGCGUAAAGAGCGUGUAGGCGGCCAGGUAGGUCUGCUGUGAAAACUCGAGGCUCAACCUCGAGACGUCGGCGGAAACCAUCUGGCUAGAGUCCGGAAGAGGAGAGUGGAAUUCCUGGUGUAGCGGUGAAAUGCGCAGAUAUCAGGAAGAACACCCGUGGCGAAGGCGGCUCUCUGGGACGGUACUGACGCUGAGGCGCGAAAGCUAGGGUAGCAAACGGG